GAUGAACGCUGGCGGCGUGCCUAAUACAUGCAAGUCGUGCGGAAAGGCCACUUCGGUGGUACUCGAGCGGCGGACGGCAGAGUAACGCGUAGGAACAUACCCCAAACUGAGGGAUAACUGCUCGAAAGAGUAGCUAAUACCGCAUGUGAUCUUCGGAUUAAAGCUUCGGCGGUUUGGGAAUGGCCUGCGUCCGAUUAGCUUGUUGGUGAGGUAAUAGCUCACCAAGGCGACGAUCGGUAGCUGGUCUGAGAGGAUGAUCAGCCUGACUGGAACUGAGAACGGUCCAGACUCCUACGGGAGGCAGCAGUAGGGAAUUUUCCACAAUGGGCGAAAGCCUGAUGGAGCAACGCCGCGUGCAGGAUGAAUGCCUUCAGGUUGUAAACUGCUUUUAUUAGUGUAAGAAUAUGACGGUAACUAAAUGAAUAAAGGGUCGGCUAACUACGUGCCAGCAG
rnacentral:rRNA from 1 species